UCUAGAGAUAGAGCUUCCCUUCGGGGCAGCGGUGACAGGUGGUGCAUGGUUGUCGUCAGCUCGUGUCGUGAGAUGUUGGGUUAAGUCCCGCAACGAGCGCAACCCCUAUGUUGUGUUGCUACCAUUUAGUUGAGCACUUACAACAGACUGCCGGUGACAAACCGGAGGAAGGCGGGGAUGACGUCAAAUCAUCAUGCCCCUUAUGUCUUGGGCUACACACGUGCUACAAUGGACGGUACAAAGGGUUGCGAAGCCGCGAGGUGGAGCCAAUCCCAGAAAGCCGUUCGUAGUUCGGAUUGCAGGCUGCAACUCGCCUGCAUGAAGCCGGAAUUGCUAGUAAUCGCGGAUCAGCAUGCCGCGGUGAAUUCGUUCCCGGGCCUUGUACACACCGCCCGUCACACCAUGGGAGUUGGUAACACCCGAAGUCGGUGAGGUAACUGCUUGCAGAGCCAGCCGCCUAAGGUGGGAUCGAUAACUGGGGUGAAGUCGUAACAAGGUAGCCGUAUCGGAAGGUGCGGCUGGAUCACCUCCUUU
rnacentral:rRNA from 1 species